GGAAAGGAAUGUGUCAUUUGCCUGUCAGAACCACGGGACACAACUGUUCUUCCUUGCCGCCACAUGUGUAUGUGCAGCGAAUGUGCAAAGGUUUUAAGGUACCAAACAAAUCGAUGCCCAAUUUGCAGACAACCCGUAGAGAGGCUUUUAGAGAUAAAGGUCAACAGUGGGCCUGAUGAAUGAAGAGAGGAAUUCCUCCCACCGCCUUGCUGUAUAGUAGUUUGCUUGCUUUUUCUUGGGUUUCAAUGUUUUCUGUUUUCCCCUUCAAUGUUCUUGUUUUCUAAUAAUCAAACCGGAAAUUAUAAUCAAUUUGCAGUAUGGCAGGG
rnacentral:misc_RNA from 1 species